GGCUUAUCUGCAGAGGGUUCUGGAAGCAGAAUCCUGGGACAGAGCUCCCAGCCGUUCCACCCUGUGUGGUGCCUGGAGGGAUGGCAGGGGCGGGAGCCGGGUGGGCCCAACCGCGGCUGCUGACAUCCCCCAACCCUGGCUCGCAGGCCUGUGUGGGAACUUCAACCAGAACCAGGCUGACGACUUCGCAGCCCUCAGUGGGGUGGUGGAGGCCACAGGCGCAGCCUUCGCCAACACCUGGAAGGCCCAGGCCGCCUGCGCCAAUGCCAGGAACAGCUUUGAGGACCCCUGCUCCCUCAGUGUGGAGAAUGAGAACUACGCCCGGCACUGGUGCUCACGCCUGACUGACCCCACCGGCUCCUUCUCGCGCUGCCACUCCGUCAUCAACCCCAAGCCCUUCCACUCGGUAAGAGGCCGUGAGGCCAGAUCCCUACACCUGGGUGGGAUGGGUGGGGGAGCCCUGGCGGGCUGGGGUCCCUGACGCCCCGACGCCCGCCCACCUCCGCAGAACUGCCUGUUUGACACCUGCAACUGUGAGCGGAGCGAGGACUGCCUGUGCGCCGCGCUGUCCUCCUAUGUGCACGCCUGUGCCGCCAAGGGCGUGCAGCUCAGCGGCUGGAGGGACGGCGUCUGCAGUGAGUGCCUGCACUGGAGGGGGGAUGUGUCCACGCUGCGUGGGGUGCGGGGGACCCUGGCUGGCAGCAGCCGUCACUCACACGGUUCUCAGCCCAGAGCUUUGUGCCUCCUCAUCCCAGCCUCGCAAGAACCUUGUAUCCUUGCGAUCACCACAUCACAGACAGGGAUGCUGAGUUGAAGAUGGGGUGGGCGGGGGCUGGCCAGGCUGCUCGGCCGCUGACCUGUCCUCCCUGGCCCCACCGACCAUAGCCAAGUACAUGCAGAACUGCCCCAAGUCCCAGAGCUAUGCCUACGUGGUGGACGCCUGCCAGCCGACUUGCCGAGGCCUGAGUGAGGCCGACGUCACCUGCAGCGUUUCCUUUGUGCCUGUGGACGGCUGCACCUGCCCCACGGGCACCUUCCUCAAUGACGCGGGCGCCUGUGUGCCCGCCCGGGAGUGCCCCUGCUACGUUCACGGCACCGUGCUGGCUCCUGGAGAGGUCGUGCACGACGAAGGCGCUGUGUGGUAAGGGGCUGGGCAGGGGGGAAAGCAGGUCCCUGAGUGCUCCUCAAAGCCACCUCCCGCCCUCCCCGAAGGCUUCUGUGCCGCCCCACGAGGGUUCUGAGACACGAGGGGCCAGGCUGGGGAGGGCGGCGCAGGGUGGACCCAGCACAUUCUAAAGAGAAAAUUCCCGGCUGGGAAAGAGGCCAGGAGUGGAGGUGGCCCUGGGAGGACGCCUGCUGGCUGUUCUCAGCUGGGUCCAAACAGCAGCCCCUGCCAGGAAAGGUGGGUGGCCCCCACUCCCACCCUGGGUUCAAAGGCUGCUGCUAACCGCAGGGUCCUGGCUGCUUUGUCGCCC
rnacentral:lncRNA from 1 species